UUCCGCUUACUGAUGCAUACUCUUUCUUUAUUCUAUAAUUUCUCAUAUCAUAGGUUUGGACUCUCAGGUUCCUUAUCGCACUUAGAUAGAUUUAGUCAGCAGCCCCUGAUUCAGUAGUGAGUCCUCAUCUAUCAAGGAUGUGCAUUUAAUCAAUAUUUUCGAAUUUAUCUUUAGUAUUUCAUUAGUUGGAGUUAGUUGGGGGCUUGUCCCAUCAACUCCACAUUCAGAUAGUUUAGUUAGAGGCUUUUCAGACUAGACUAGUUUAGACAGUAUAUUCAGUUUUUAGAUAUUUUAUCAAAUGUUAUUACUGUACUAGUACUUUAGAUUUUGAACCUUAUGGUAAUUCAACCGAUUUUCCGC
rnacentral:lncRNA from 1 species